UCGGGAAUUUUGGGCAAUGGGCGAAAGCCUGACCCAGCAACGCCGCGUGAGGGAUGAAGUAUUUCGGCAUGUAAACCUCGAAAGAAUGGGAAGAAUAAAUGACGGUACCAUUUAUAAGCUCCGGCUAACUACGUGCCAGCAGCCGCGGUAAUACGUAGGGAGCAAGCGUUGUUCGGAUUUACUGGGCGUAAAGGGCGCGUAGGCGGCGCGGUAAAUCACUUGUGAAAUCUCUGAGCUUAACUCAGAACGGCCAAGUGAUACUGCUGUGCUAGAGUGCGGAAGAGGCAACCGGAAUUCUUGGUGUAGCGGUGAAAUGCGUAGAUAUCAAGAGGAACACCUGAGGCGAAGGCGGGUUGCUGGGCCGACACUGACGCUGAUGCGCGAAAGCCAGGGGAG
rnacentral:rRNA from 1 species